rnacentral:misc_RNA from 1 species
AAGUCGUAACAAGGUUUCCGUAGGUGAACCUGCGGAAGGAUCAUUAAAGAGAUAGGGUCUUCAUGGCCCGACCUCCAACCCUCUGUUGUUAUAACUACCUUGUUGCUUUGGCGGGACCGUCUCGGUCUCCGAGCGCACUAAUCCCUACCGGGUUGGGUUGGAGCGCCCGCCCGACGAGUCCAAGCCCAAAACCUCAUUGUAUUAAAUCCGGUACCGGUCUGAGUAUAAAAUUUUUAAUUAAAUUAAAA